UACGUAGGCAGCAAGCGUUGUUCGGAGUUAUUGGGCGUAAGGAGCUCGUAGGCGGUUCGGUAAGUCGGGUGUGAAACCUCCAGGCUCAACCUGGAGACGCCACCCGAUACUGCUGUGACUAGAGUCCGGUAGGGGAGCGUGGAAUUCCUGGUGUAGCGGUGAAAUGCGCAGAUAUCGGGAGGAACACCAAUGGCGAAGGCAGCUUGCUGGGACGGUACUGACGCUGAGGCGCGAAAGCGUGGGGAGCAAACAGG
rnacentral:rRNA from 1 species